GUAACCUGCCCUUGACUCUGGGAUAAGCCUGGGAAACUGGGUCUAAUACCGGAUAUGACCUUCCAUCGCAUGGUGGUUGGUGGAAAGCUUUUGUGGUUUUGGAUGGACUCGCGGCCUAUCAGCUUGUUGGUGGGGUAAUGGCCUACCAAGGCGACGACGGGUAGCCGGCCUGAGAGGGUGACCGGCCACACUGGGACUGAGACACGGCCCAGACUCCUACGGGAGGCAGCAGUGGGGAAUAUUGCACAAUGGGCGCAAGCCUGAUGCAGCGACGCCGCGUGAGGGAUGACGGCCUUCGGGUUGUAAACCUCUUUCAGUAGGGAAGAAGCGUAAGUGACGGUACCUGCAGAAGAAGCGCCGGCUAACUACGUGCCAGCAGCCGCGGUAAUACGUAGGGCGCAAGCGUUAUCCGGAAUUAUUGGGCGUAAAGAGCUCGUAGGCGGUUUGUCGCGUCUGCCGUGAAAGUCCGGGGCUCAACUCCGGAUCUGCGGUGGGUACGGGCAGACUAGAGUGAUGUAGGGGAGACUGGAAUUCCUGGUGUAGCGGUGAAAUGCGCAGAUAUCAGGAGGAACACCGAUGGCGAAGGCAGGUCUCUGGGCAUUAACUGACGCUGAGGAGCGAAAGCAUGGGGAGCGAACAGGAUUAGAUACCCUGGUAGUCCAUGCCGUAAACGUUGGGCACUAGGUGUGGGGGACAUUCCACGUUUUCCGCGCCGUAGCUAACGCAUUAAGUGCCCCGCCUGGGGAGUACGGCCGCAAGGCUAAAACUCAAAGGAAUUGACGGGGGCCCGCACAAGCGGCGGAGCAUGCGGAUUAAUUCGAUGCAACGCGAAGAACCUUACCAAGGCUUGACAUGGACCAGACCGGACUGGAAACAGUUCUUCCACUUGUGGCUGGUUUACAGGUGGUGCAUGGUUGUCGUCAGCUCGUGUCGUGAGAUGUUGGGUUAAGUCCCGCAACGAGCGCAACCCUCGUUCUAUGUUGCCAGCACGUGAUGGUGGGGACUCAUAGGAGACUGCCGGGGUCAACUCGGAGGAAGGUGGGGACGACGUCAAAUCAUCAUGCCCCUUAUGUCUUGGGCUUCACGCAUGCUACAAUGGCCGGUACAAAGGGUUGCGAUACUGUGAGGUGGAGCUAAUCCCAAAAAGCCGGUCUCAGUUCGGAUUGGGGUCUGCAACUCGACCCCAUGAAGUCGGAGUCGCUAG
rnacentral:rRNA from 1 species